UCCAUUCAAUAAAAUUUCUUUUCUCCAAAAUUACUCUCUCAAUACUCUCCGAUCAAACACACAUACACUCAAGAUUCACACACACACAAAAGUUUACGAUUGCAAUAUGGGAAACUCUUCCCUUAAUUACUGAUACAUUAGCUCAUUGUUAGUCUUUUCCCUAUGCAAGAGAUUUGAAUGUGGGAAAUUUGAGGCUGUUUACAAUAUGAAUGUUCAGAGUCAUAUUGUGAUCUCUUCCUUGCGUGGAUAUGUCAACGGCAAAAUCUUGAAACUCGUCUAGGGACUUUUUUCGCCAUACUAGGUGGAAUUUUAUUCCUUCCCGGAUUCUACUAUACACGGAUUGCAUACUAUGCGUACAAAGGUUACAAAGGAUUCUCCUUUGCCAACAUACCUCCCGUCUAGCUAUGUUUUGCCACUCUCAUAACACUGUACAUAUACCUCUCUGUUCUUCGUUGCUUCGAUGUUCUCUUUUGUAUCCAUUGUGUUUGUGUUUCUGUAAAUUGUGACAGUGUACAUGUAUAAAUAAUCUAAAUUUUGUGUCUCUAUA